ensembl:ncRNA C04C11.10 ncRNA
GAAAUGCGCAUAUGUGUUUCGGCAGCGUGAUGGCAAAAGUGUGUGUUUGUGUGUUUCGGCACAGGCACACUUUUCCAUCAACCACCACUUUUUGUCUGUUUGUUUUCAAUCACGACAAGCAUCUGUAAAAGCUUC